GGAGCUUGUGCUUGACGCUCGACGGAAAAAUCGGAGCCGCCCGGAACCUCGCGAUCUCGAGAACGCGCCCGGAUCUCUUUCACCCGGAAACAGUCGAUAAAACAGCUUACUAAAGUCAGUAAUUGAUAAACUGUCAGUACCAAUCACUGUUUGCUGUGGUCAAUCGCAAAUGGAACGCUUUCAUUGUAUUUAUACACAAAGGAAAAAAAACAUGUGAAGACGCGCGUGAUAUUCAUCGUUAUGUUUGUGUCCAUAUCGGAAAACAUGCGGAAAUCAGAUGACUUAACGCUAGAGUCACGUCGAGUCAUACCAAUUAAAUGAGAACGACCGAUCGGACGACUGAUGACUAAUGACCGUGGAUAUGAGCAGUGCCGUAGCAUUUUUUGUGGAUUCUCGUUUUACACAAUAUAAAUAUAUUUAUGUAUUUUCUU